rnacentral:rRNA from 1 species
GUGCCAGCAGCCGCGGUAACACGUAGGGGGCGAGCGUUGUCCGGAUUUAUUGGGCGUAAAGAGCUCGUAGGCGGUUCGGCAAGUCGGGUGUGAAAUUUCGAGGCUCAACCUCGAAACGCCACUCGAUACUGCUGUGACUGGAGUCCGGUAGAGGAGUGCGGAAUUCCUGGUGUAGCGGUGAAAUGCGCAGAUAUCAGGAGGAACACCAACGGCGAAGGCAGCACUCUGGGCCGGUACUGACGCUGAGGAGCGAAAGCGUGGGGAGCAAACAGGAUUAGAUACCCUGGUAGUCC